CCUACGGGAGGCAGCAGUGGGGAAUAUUGCACAAUGGGGGAAACCCUGAUGCAGCGACGCCGCGUGAAUGAAGACGGCUUUCGGUAUGUAAAGCUCUGUCAGUAGGGAAGAAAAUUGCGGUACGUGACCGAUCAGCCCCGGCUAACUACGUGCCCGCAGCCGCGGUAAGACGUCGGGGGCCAGGGUUAUCCGGAUGUACCGGGUGUUAAGGGAGCGUAGUUGGUAGGUCAAGUCAGGAGUGAAAGGCGGGGGCUUAACCCGCAGACUGCAGUGGAAACUGGCAGUCUGGAGUGCAGGAGAGGUAAGUGGAAUUCGGAGUGUAGCGGUGAAAUGCGUAGAUAUGAGGAGGAACACCGGUGGCGAAGGCGGUUUACUGGACUGCAACUGACGUUGAGGCUCGAAAGUGUGGGGAGCAAACAGGAUUAGAUACCCGAGUAGUC
rnacentral:rRNA from 1 species